ACUCCUACGGGAGGCAGCAGUAGGGAAUCUUCGGCAAUGGGGGCAACCCUGACCGAGCAACGCCGCGUGAGUGAAGAAGGUUUUCGGAUCGUAAAGCUCUGUUGUAAGUCAAGAACGGGUGUGAGAGUGGAAAGUUCACACUGUGACGGUAGCUUACCAGAAAGGGACGGCUAACUACGUGCCAGCAGCCGCGGUAAUACGUAGGUCCCGAGCGUUGUCCGGAUUUAUUGGGCGUAAAGCGAGCGCAGGCGGUUUGAUAAGUCUGAAGUUAAAGGCUGUGGCUCAACCAUAGUUCGCUUUGGAAACUGUCAAACUUGAGUGCAGAAGGGGAGAGUGGAAUUCCAUGUGUAGCGGUGAAAUGCGUAGAUAUAUGGAGGAACACCGGUGGCGAAAGCGGCUCUCUGGUCUGUAACUGACGCUGAGGCUCGAAAGCGUGGGGAGCGAACAGGAUUAGAUACCCUGGUAGUCCGCGCCGUAAACGAUGAGUGCUAGGUGUUGGAUCCUUUCCGGGAUUCAGUGCCGCAGCUAACGCAUUAAGCACUCCGCCUGGGGAGUACGACCGCAAGGUUGAAACUCAAAGGAAUUGACGG
rnacentral:rRNA from 1 species